UACAGAGGGUGCGAGCGUUAAUCGGAAUUACUGGGCGUAAAGCGCACGUAGGUGGCGACGUAAGUCGGGUGUGAAAGCCCCGGGCUCAACCUGGGAAUUGCAUUCGAGACUGCAUUGCUGGAGUACGGAAGAGGAAGGCGGAAUUCCAGGUGUAGCGGUGAAAUGCGUAGAUAUCUGGAGGAACACCGGUGGCGAAGGCGACAUCCUGGACCGGUAUUGACGCUGAGGCGCGAAAGCCAGGGGAGCAAACGGG
rnacentral:rRNA from 1 species